AUUGAACGCUGGCGGCAGGCCUAACACAUGCAAGUCGAGCGGGGUUUUCGGACCUAGCGGCGGACGGGUGAGUAAUGCGUAGGAAGCUACCCGAUAGAGGGGGAUACCAGUUGGAAACGACUGUUAAUACCGCAUAAUGUCUACGGACCAAAGUGUGGGACCUUCGGGCCACAUGCUAUCGGAUGCGCCUCCGUGGGAUUAGCUCGUUGGUGGGGUAAUGGCUCACCAAGGCGACGAUCCCUAGCUGGUUGGAGAGGAUGAUCAGCCACACUGGAACUGAGACACGGUCCAGACUCCUACGGGAGGCAGCAGUGGGGAAUAUUGGACAAUGGGCGCAAGCCUGAUCCAGCCAUGCCGCGUGUGUGAAGAAGGCCUUCGGGUUGUAAAGCACUUUCAGUAGGGAGGAAGAGUUGAGUGUUAAUAGUACUCAGCUUUGACGUUACCUACAGAAGAAGCACCGGCUAACUCUGUGCCAGCCGCCGCCGUAAUAC
rnacentral:rRNA from 1 species